UGGGUUGUAGACUAACGUGAUUUCCCAGUGUGCAUGCAGCUCCCUGGAGAACAGGUUCUAGUGCUGUUCACAGCUCCCUCAGCUUUGCUGGUGCUGUAUUUAAGGCUGGAGCUGGAAGGCUGUGCUUGUGAAAUGGAAGUGAGUAAGGGCUGGGAUGACUGGUCAUAAGAUGUCUCACACAAGUGGAACUACAAGCAAAAAUGCAUGUAUAAUUGUGUCUGUGGAUGCUGGACCUGGUUAUAUUGAAUGUGCUGUAUAACAGUAUAAACCCUUUUUCCCAGAUUAGGAAAACUCAGAGGUUUGAAUAGUAAGUGUAUUUAGGAAGUUCUGAUGUCUUGGUUCUGCAACGAUGCUCUUGCUUGACAUUUAGUGUAUGUGUGAAUGAAGAGUUUCCAAGAAAGUGCACAGAACCCCUAUUGGAGGGUAGCUCUGUGCUGUGAAAGUUAAAUAAUCUGGUAGAAAUCAGCAUUUGUCCUCAUCAACGUGGGUCUAUUGUAAUCUAUCCGUUGUUUUCGCUGAGUUGCAAAUACUACCUGUGAAAGGGUGUAAAGUGCUCCCUGUGAGCCUUAGUCUGGAAGGUCCUACGUGUUUUUCAACCAGUCAGUUUAGUACACUGUCAGACACAAGAUUAUCAUGUUAAACAAUAAUGUUCACUUGAACUGGAAAGCUCUGUAAUAUUCUCAUCUGCCAAUGUUUUAAUUACAGGAUAGCUCUUGCUAAGAGUAACUAAACUUAGAAGUGGGUGAAUGGGUUUUGAUAUGGAAAGGGAAGAUUUUGUUUCUUUUUUUUUUCCUGUUUCUUUUUCCUUUCCGCAAGGAAAUUACAUUCUUGGGAGAACUGCAAAACCAGAAAGACCAAAAUGCUCUCCCAUGAGCUGUAGGGUGGGGAAAACUGUGUAAACCAAAGGUCAGAUACAGAAAGUCAUCUAUUUAUAAGUGAAAAAGAGGAACAAUGAAAGGAGAAAGGGAUGAUGUGCAAAUGAAUAAGGGACUCAGGAGAGAGGAACAAGGAAAGAAAGGAAUAUGAUAUGUAGUUUUGUCAGUGAUGAGUGGGUGAAGAUUUGUGCAAGGUAGAUCCAAGGAGAAGAGAACUACUGGAGCAGUGGAAGGUUCUGGGGUGCAGUGCAGAGAAGGGUGUCUCAGUCCAUAACUGAUGAGAUCAAGAGAUGCCAGUGCUUCCACGAGCCAGGUUUGGCAGGGAAAUCCUGGCAUGCUGCAGACUUCAGAGGCUCUUACGGAGAGCUCUUCCUAAUUGAGUACUGUGUCUCACAUUAACUCACAGGGUGAGGGUUUAAUAAUGCGUAUAACAUAUACAACUGUAGAUAUUCUGCUGUUGUGACAUAUUUUUACUUUUAAAUUGCCAAGCAUUAUUGUAGUAGUGGUAGCAUAAAUAUAUUUUAUGUGUGGUGAACUAUUAAAAAAAUUACUAAGAAAAUUCAACAAAACCUGUGAUUAUACUAGGGACGAAUUCAGCUCCCAAGUUAGCUUUCCUAUAGCAGUUUUCUCUGCAGAUUCUCCUUGUGUCCAUGCAGCGACACAAGCAUUCCAUGGAAGUACUGGCCGUGUGGAGAAUGUGAGCUUGGACACUGUGUAUCCACAGCAAUGAAUCUGAAAACAUUUCAAAAUAUUGCUCUUGUUUGGCAUCUCUCAAGUAGCUUAAACAGUAAGAAUUUAUGCCUACAAUAUGCCAUAUUACCCCAGACAUCUAAACCUUAUUAUGCCUACGUUAAGAGAGGUAUGAAUCCAGUCCCUGGCUCCACCAUACUCCUUGCACAGUGGGAAACAUACAUUGUAGAGAAUAUGGAGCUUGAACAUUAAACUUGCAUGUAACUUUGGGGUUUAAGGAGUUAAUGGCAUUGGCCCUUGUACUUAGUAUUUCAAACUUAGGCAUGCCUAGCACUCUACAAAAACAAAUAUAGACAAAUGUGAGAGAAGCAAAUAGUUCAUAGCCUGAAGAGUUUACUGUUUAAGUUUCACAGGCUGUUGAAUAGAUUUGUGCAUAAAUCUGAGCUCUCACUACAGAUGCAGAGGGUAGAGAACUAAAGGGAACUAACUGUAAGCAAAAAAGUAUCAAAAAGACAGUAAAGACAUAGUUUUGUUACUGUUAAUCAGUGCAGACACCUAGAGUUAUGUGCAGCUGAUGGUUUUGUCUUUUUUUUUUAAAUUAUAUUAUUUUUUUAUAAUAAAAAACUGCAACACAAAGAGGAGAGAUCAGAAGAAAGGAAAGUGUGAGGACUGCUUCUGGUUGUCUCAAAAAGUAGAUGCUUGCAGGAAGGCGAAUGGCACAAAGACAUAGACGUUAAUGAGAAUUCUGUGAAAAUCAGAAGAGUUCGUGUAUCAAAGGAGGAACCAUUGUCAGAGAUGUGGCGGAAGUAAGAAAGAGCCAUCUUUUGGUGUGAUUGAUGAGGGCCGCUUAUGAGAAAAAGUGAACUGGAAUGCCAGGCAACCAUGGCUUGUGAUUUAUGCAUAUUCGGGAAGAACGCUGGAACAGCCCAAACACAGAAGUUGUCAUAAUAGAUGCACAGCUCUUCGAGGACGGCAAAACAUAAAUCUAAAAGAACCAGGGGGAAAAAAAGUUCAGUUUUUUUAAAGCUGGCAUAAUUAUAACGGCGUUUCUGCCUGCGGUUUUACUAGAAAGCAGCAUCCACAGUCAUGGACUCAGAUGACUGACCUGUGACACAUCUCACGCGAUACACGCACGUGAUACGCAAUGUAACGGUGGGCUGACCCAUACCGGGCGUACUUGCAGCGCUACUUUGCAAAUCUCUGAGCCAGUCUGGGUGGAUGCAUGGCUGCUAAAUUGUUUAGAGUCUAAAUUCCAGUCCAUUUUUUUCUUUCUAUUUUUCUUUUUUAUUGUUUACAGCAUUGUCAAGUAGACAAUUUUCAACUGAAGCUUUCUCUACUGAAUAUUCAUUUUGUUAGGUCCUUUGAAUUAAAUCCAUGGAUCUACUUGCAUGGUUUUCAAUUACAGGAAAAAAUACCUUUUCUUUUAUGAUCUGCUAAGACCACCUCUGCUUUAGGGGCAGAGGAAUGCGUACCCAUUAAGACUUGCAGAUGAAUGGAACCUUAGAAAAUCAAUUUAUUUAAGUUCUUGACAAAUGCCUGUACUGUUGUAGUAUUCUAAGAUUCCUGUAGAUUUUCAUUCAGUGAUAUUUACUGCUGCCUACCUGCAUACAAAUACGGGAUUGUAGCAUAAUACUCAUUGAAAUUCUUCUGUGUUAACAAGCUUAUCAAUCAAAAAUUAUUGGAUUUUGUAUGUUUUUCCUUACAGAAAAUUCGGUGACACAAAAUGUUCUUAUAAUUAAAAGCUCUUCAUUCUGUUAUUUAAUUUAGUGCAAAACUGAAGUAUAAAAAAACAAUUUUCAGUAUUUUUUUCU
ensembl:lncRNA